rnacentral:rRNA from 1 species
GACGAACGCUGGCGGCGUGCUUAACACAUGCAAGUCGAACGGAAAGGCCCUGCUUUUGUGGGGUGCUCGAGUGGCGAACGGGUGAGUAACACGUGAGUAACCUGCCCUUGACUUUGGGAUAACUUCAGGAAACUGGGGCUAAUACCGGAUAGGAGCUCCUGCUGCAUGGUGGGGGUUGGAAAGUUUCGGCGGUUGGGGAUGGACUCGCGGCUUAUCAGCUUGUUGGUGGGGUAGUGGCUUACCAAGGCUUUGACGGGUAGCCGGCCUGAGAGGGUGACCGGCGACAUUGGGACUGAGAUACGGCCCAGACUCCUACGGGAGGCAGCAGUGCGGAAUAUUGCACAAUGGGCGGAAGCGUGAUGCAGCAACGCCGCGUGCGGGAUGACGGCCUUCGGGUUGUAAACCGCUUUCGCCUGUAACGAAGCGUGAGUGACGGUAAUGGGUAAAGAAGCACCGGCUAACUACGUG